AAGAAGGGCCCCAGCUAGGCCCAGUCCAGAGGCCCCAGAUCCUCUCAAUGACCUCUGAGCCAGCCACAGCCCACCCAUCCAGGUUGUUGUGAAGAUUAGAGGAAUGAAUGUGGGUGAAAGCACAUCGAACAGAAAGAAGCUGGCACAAACAGGCAUUCAGACGCAUUUGGAAGCAAACAGCUCUGACAGGUGCCUCCCCAGCUUGCAGACAGUCUGUGGCUUCCCACUGCUUUCAGGAUUUCGCUCGCGCAGACCCCACCCCCGCUGCGUGGUCUGGCCACCUCGUCUCCCACCUCCUCGGCCUCAGGCACCAUCUUCUGCCACCAAGCCAGGCUUCUCCCCUCCCAAGCCGAGCCGCCAGUUCCCUCCUGCCCCUAGGCCUCUGCCUGUGCCCCGCUCAUCUUGGAGUGCUCUUCUCUGGCUGGCACACUCCUCCUCCUCCGCCAAGACCCAGCCUUACAAAGCUCCCUCCGACCCCAAGCAAGAAUUAGAGUCAGCUGGGGGCCUGGGAAGCGGGCGGCCUUAUCCUCCUCCUCCCCACCACCACCACUGUGCCCAGCACUUGGGACAGGGACUUGCUGGUCACUCCCUCCAAAGAAGCUGGUGCCUGGACCCUGAGCCUGUUCUCUGGAGACUCAAACUACUCGCCUUCUGUGGAUCCUGGAAGACCCAUUCCACACCUCCUCGAAGGAAAGUCUUCCCUGGCUGUUUCUCCAGCUGCCGUGCUCCCACCUCCCUUGGUUCAUAUCUCCACCACUGUGUCUCCCCUUGCCUUGUAAUAAUUGGGCUGCUG
rnacentral:lncRNA from 1 species